rnacentral:lncRNA from 1 species
GCCCCUCUCUCUAUAGGCCCCUCACUCUAUAGGCUCCUCUCUCUAUAGGCUCCUCUCUCUAUAUGCCCUCUCUAACUAUAGGACCCUUCUCUCUACAGGCUCCUCCCUCUCUGGUCUCUCGCUCUGAACUCUAUCAAAGGCAGUGAUUCUUCUGACAGUGAUUGAUCUGAAUUACAGCCAAUCGCAGAAACAUCAAGCCAAAUUGUCAAUUUGAUCACUCCAAAUGUUUGUAAAAUAAGCCCCCUUUAAUGGGAGGUUACAUGUCUGGUGUUGAAACAGGAACAUAAAAAGAGGAGAGGGAAUGGAGAGGGGAAUAAAGGAGGGGAAGGAGCUGAAAGAAAAGCGUGGUGACUGGAGGUCUCCAUUUGGCAUGGUGGUUCAGUCAGUGACAGGGGAAGAGGCUACUGGCAGGCAGGGCUAGUCCUUUAGGAAGGAGAGGAGACAGGCAGGGCUAGUCCUUUAGGGGGGAGAGGAGACAGGCAGGGCUAGUCCUUUAGGGGGGAGAGGAGACAGGCAGGGCUAGUCCUUUAGGAAGGAGAGGAGACAGGCAGGGCUAGUCCUUUAGGAAGGAGAGGAGACAGGCAGGGCUAGUCCUUUAGGGGGGAGAGGAGACAGGCAGGGCUAGUCCUUUAGGGGGGAGAGGAGACAGGCAGGGCUAGUCCUUUAGGGGGGAGAGGAGACAGGCAGGGCUAGUCCUUUAGGAAGGAGAAGAGACAGGCAGGGCUAGUCCUUUAGGGGGGAGAGGAGACAGGCAGGGCUAGUCCUUUAGGAAGGAGAGGAGACGAUAAAAGGAAGCCGGGGCUGUUCCUUUGUGCCUGAAUCAAUCGAUACUCCUGAGCGCACUCUUUUAAACACUAUCCAUGUGCUGCAGGGGUGCUGCUGGGGC